GUGAGGAAUAUUGCGCAAUGGACGAAAGUCUGACGCAGCCAUGCCGCGUGAAGGAUUGACGGCCCUAUGGGUUGUAAACUUCUUUUGUAUAGGAAUAAACCCUCGUUCGUGAACGAGGCUGAAGGUACUAUAAGAAUAAGCACCGGCUAACUCCGUGCCAGCAGCCGCGGUAAUACGGAGGGUGCAAGCGUUAUCCGGAUUUAUUGGGUUUAAAGGGUCCGUAGGCGGAUCGUUAAGUCAGUGGUGAAAUCCUACCGCUCAACGGUAGAACUGCCAUUGAUACUGGCGAUCUUGAGUAUGUAUGAAGUUGGCGGAAUGUGUGGUGUAGCGGUGAAAUGCUUAGAUAUCACACAGAACACCGAGUGCGAAGGCAGCUGACUAAUACACAACUGACGCUGAGGGACGAAAGUGUGGGGAUCAAACAGGAUUAGAUACCCGAGUAGUCC
rnacentral:rRNA from 1 species